UACGUAGGGUCCAAGCGUUAUCCGGAAUCACUGGGCGUAAAGCGUGCGUAGGUGGCGCGUUAAGUGAGAUGUUAAAUCGUGUGGCUCAACCAUAUCGAUGUAUCUCAUACUGGCGUGCUAGAGGACGGCAGAGGCAAGUGGAAUUUGUAGUGUAGCAGUGAAAUGCGUAGAUAUUACAAGGAACACCAAUGGCGAAGGCAGCUUGCUGGGCUACUCCUGACACUGAGGUACGAAAGCGUGGGGAGCGAACAGG
rnacentral:rRNA from 1 species